rnacentral:lncRNA from 1 species
CAGUAUCUUCUUUUGUUAAAAAUCAAUUGAUUCCCAUUGGUUCAGGCUUCAGAAUCUUUUUUUUUUUUUUUUUGGGGGGGGGGGGGGGGGCCAGAAAUAUUUGGUGGGGGGGGGGGGGUAGGGACCAAGACUAUUGGUUGUGGCCUGACCUAAAAUCUUAUAAAGUAACCCAAUGCUCUGCCUCUCCAGAACAAACAGCCAGUGCUCUCUGCCGAGAGGCAGCAAUGGCUGCUUAGCAAGUUGCCUCCUCUGAACACAUCGUUAUUGGGUUGACUCAGGAGCUGCUUCACAAAAUGCAGGACCUGCUUCCCAUUUUUGUUCUGAUUGCAUCGGAGCUGCUGGAUCUCUCUGGUGCCCCCAGAGCCGAGCACCAUGUUGGUGGAGCCUCAGACCUGAGCUUUCCUGGAGAACCCCAACCAAUAUCUGGGACCAGUCCGCUGUCAGUCACAGAGGAUGACUUGGGUGAGGCAACCAAUUAUGUUCAGACUCCGGCGGCCGAUCCUACAAAUGAAAUGACAGCAGACUUCAUUCCCAGCCACACAGAGGUGGCUGCAAGAGCAACAGGCACACUGCCAGUGGAGCCAGUGAGGGAUGUGGAAGGGUCUGAGCGAGGGCACACGACAGCUGCUGUAAAGCUCCAGGACAGACAGCCAUUUCCUAACGAGCUCUUGAGCAGCACAAGCAGCCCCAUUUCCACACGAGGGCCACAGGCUGCCACCCACCCACAUCCCUCAGGAAAGGCUGCCACUAUUAGCAGCCCAGCCAGCUCUGAUGCUGGCACACCUCAGCCCAUUCCCAGUGCAGGGGUGCAGCAAGGUGUUCCUGCCUUGUCCACCCCGGGCAUCCAGCAGACGGAGGCACCAAGACUUGAAACAUCUCCUCUGACUUCAACAGUACCUUUCCAUCCUCCCAGAAAAGAAACAGCAUCUCCGUUUCCCACCAGAGAGAAGAUGGUGACCAAUCCACCAUCAGCACCUCCCACCAGCAAAAGGCCGAGAGAUGCGAGCCCCCAGGCACAGCCCCACAGCAGAGCUGCACAGCCUCGGGGUGUGGCUGCUAAGGUCACCACUUCUGCAUUCCUACCAAAACCAGCUUCAGGGGACCCUACCACAGUUCCUUCCAGAACAACACAGACAACUGCUGGUUACUUCUCCCCUAUGAAGCGAGAGAUGGCAGGCAGCGAGGGCAGGAGCUCAACAGCAGCCAUAGUAAGUGGGUCUGGACACACAGCCCAGCUGCCUGCACUGCAGGACGUUCUGCAAGGCCACGCACACUCCUCUUCCCCGCUGAUGCCUCUGGAAGCCCUGGAUCAUGAUUUACCCCACUCUCCAUCUCAAGAGCUCACUAAUGCUGCUGACGGACCGCAGCCUCUCCCUUUGCCUCGGACUCACAGCUGUACCAAACACCACUCCUCCCAGGAAGACCACAGGAGCUCUCAAGGAAGCACAGCCCUGGUUUUGCAAAAAGAUGCUGAUCACCAGAUGACAAGUAAACCCGAAAAAUCCAGAUUCCCUGAGAAGCCACAGGUUUCUGCUAGUGCAUCUUCAGUAAGCCAGUCACAGGUGUCCACCUUAAACGUUUCCCAAACUACUACAGGGACAAAAGGAGCUACAUCUGCAUUCUCCCUGGGCACACCCACCCUGGAGCACGCAGACCUUCGAGCUGUGAGCACUCCUGUUGUUCCUGCAGCACUUCAGCCAGCGGGUGUAUCUGCUCCUCCUGCUGGACCCCAGAUAGCGGGCAUCCCCACUUCUGCUGGGCAAGGACUUCACAUACCAACUUCACCCACUUCAGCUCAUUCCAGGUCUCUGCACCCACCUUUUGCUCAGGAAAGCCUGCCCAGCACAACUGCACAUCCCAGUGUGGUGGAGGCCGCUGUUUCUGAUGGGAUCCCAGCACACCUGGCACAGCUGCUGGUGCAGCAGUUGGAUACAUCACACCACACACCUACCAAAAACCUCAGUGCUAUUGGAACCGAUCACCUUAGCAUGUUACCAUCAUUCCCAUAUUUGUCCUUCCUGCUUAGAAAUACCGAUGGCAUGCUAUGCCUGCUUCCCACACAGGAUUCCCCUUUGCCUAUGCAAUUCCCGAAUAUCAGCAUUGGGACUCUGGUUUCUGCUCAGCAAAUCCUCACAGUGUCAAAUUCUUCGUUAUUAGAUCUAGGGGACUUACCAAACAUGAGUCUUUCCAGCUUAAUCCUGGUUAAGCCCAUAUUUAUCCUCUUUCCCACCGACAGACCAGGCUUACAAGGGAGGCCCUCUCCUGAGGGUGAAGGCAAACACAAAACCCUGUUGUUCAGCAACCAGCAAGGUGUGAAUGCAAUUACUGCUGAGCACAGCCAUGACAUCCCGCUGGUGUCCGCACGCAUCCCCCGUACUGCCCCCAAAGCACCUCUCACAGCUGGGAAGUUGCUUUCGUUAUCACUGCCAGCGGUAGAACUGCCCGAUCCCCCACUCCCAGCCCAGCCUCCGUUUGCAAUCACAGAGGCAGUAGAUCCGGCUCAGCCCAGCAAGGAGGCAGCUCUGCAAGACACCGGCCUGGGCUCAGCCCCCGCACCGUCUUCUGCCCGUGCACAGUGCGCUGAGUGUCUGCGCUCAGCCAGGACCACGAAUUACCCAUUGAGGGUGUCCACAAGCACUGUGCCUCUGCAGUCCACAACGCAAAGCUCCGAGCCGCUCCAAAGGCUGCCAUCACCAGCUGGGAUUGCGCCCAGCACCGUACCAGCAUCCCCAGCGCCUCCCACUGGCAGCGACAGGAGAGGUUCAGCUGCGGGCAGCACCGCCUGUCCGGGAGUGGCUCUGCAUCCCAGGGCAGCACCAACCUCACCCUCAUCUCUGAGCCCCGGCCUUGCCAAGCACCUGGAGCUCACACCCACCGCGCCCAAGCCCUCUGCAGUGAUGGAGACCCCAACACCAGUGCUGUCACCAUUUUCAGCAAAGGUUCACGUGAAAACAACAACGUCUGGGAAGCUGCUGGCUGCAGUUACCCGUCCCAGAAUGUACACCGGGUCCCCUGCAAGCCCGCCUUCCUCUGUGGCCACGCACAUUCUCCUGCCAUCAGCCACAAAACACGACCGGAGCACCCGAGCACCAGGCAAUGUGGGAGAAGAUGCAGAGCCAGCUGAAGUCAGCACGAGUGCAAGGAAAACAGGACUCGCAGGAAGCAGCACUCCUCUGCCAGCUGUGUUUAACUCGAGGCCGGAGCAGCACCCCGCAGCAGUGCAGGACAGCGAGGCUGCUUUAGCCCCAAUGCAAUCUGAGGCUGCAGAAGCUGGGAUUGAGACACACAGCUCCGCUGGGCAGCACCCUGGACCGCCUACAACAGGAUCGGCUGUGGGGCUGCCCCUGAGCACUGAGGAAGAAGAGGAGGCCGGACCCCGCGAGGUGACAGAAGAAGCAGCCGAAGGCUCAGUGACCGAGCUCACACCGCUGGGGUCACAGCCGGGAGAGCCCCGCCGCCGCAGCGCCGUGCAGCCGGAGGGCGCCGUGCUGAGCGGGUAAUUGG